rnacentral:sRNA from 1 species
GAAAUCGAUCCCCACUAGGCUUCAUGAGAGCAUUUUCCCGCUUGUUCAAGUCUGAUGGCUUGCUUUUCCCAUAUUGCAAUCUUCACAAAGGAAACGUGCUGCUGUAGCUAAAAGCAGCUUAUCCCCAACUCCAACUUCACACGAAUAUCCACCUACAUACCAGCUACCCUCUACAUGAUACAGCUUCCAUUAAAUAGAUAGUACUUCAACACCGGCUGUUUUCUCCUGGGAGGUUGCUACUCGGCAUGGUAGCGUCGGAUAUAUCCCAUCACUCCACUUGGAGGUGGAACGUAUUAUUAGAUGACGUAUAACUCCUACAUACGCAGUACAACAAGGAACUUUACCGCAACAAGUAGCUCCGCGGUUUACGGGGCUAAGCGGAGAGAAAAGAAAAUAUACCGAAUGUCUCCGGUUUUAGAGACCUUUUUGUCCUUUGGUUGGUAAUUGGCUCAGGGGGCGGGCUCUGGUGAGGCGGAAGCCGAAUCUCCUUCCUAUAUAAAAGAGUUUCCCGCAGAGUGCACUUCUGGAAGAGUUAAUAGAGGUCAAUAUCUUGGUAUCCGGUCAAUAUCUCUGCUGAACUCCGCGCUUCGCUCUGUGCGUGUCAAGUUUAUUUUUGGUCGUUUUUGGGUUGAUUGAUAUCCUCCGAUCUCGCGUCCCAUCUGGGCUCAGUGCUUCGAGCUUGCUACAACUUUGAUCCUGCCGAACCCGUAGCUAUGAAAGAGACACGCGCUGCUUCCACUAAGACCUAUACACUGAGCGACGGCAGAGUAAUUCCUGCCAUUGGCUAUGGGGCGAUGCAGUGUUAGUUAGUCCUAUCUAUCCUGCGCAGUGUUGCUUACCUCGUAGACAACAAAAAAUAAACUAAGACGCCCCAAAGAUGGCAUGGUUUUCCCCGACGAAGAAAGACCCAAAGUCACCGAGAUCCUCAAACAGGCCAUUCUCGCAGGCUAUCGUUACAUAGACACCGCACCAGGGUAUGCCACAGAGGAUCUCCUUGGAGAGGCCAUCCGUGCCUCAGGCGUGCCUCGCUCUGAAUUUACAGUCGUGACCAAGCUUCUCCAAACUCAGCAUCACGAUCCUGAGGCUUCGUUCCGCGAGUCCCUGGCAAAGCUUGACGUCGGCUACAUUGAUAUUUUCCUUCUCCACUGGCCCAAUGCUUCGGGCCCAGACGGGAGGUGGAGGGGCAUUGACGAAAGCCCGACGUUCGUGGAGACAUAUAAGA